rnacentral:rRNA from 1 species
GAUGAACGCUGGCGGCGUGCUUAAUACAUGCAAGUCGAACGGAGACAUUAGCAAUAAUGUUUUAGUGGCGAACGGGUGAGUAACGCGUUGGUGACCUGCCCCGAAGAGAGGGAUAACAGUUCGAAAGGAUUGCUAAUACCCCAUGUGGUUGUUUGGAUUAGAUGCCUUACAACUAAACGGAUUUAUUCGCUUCGGGAGGGGCCUGCGUCCCAUCAGCUAGUUGGUAGGGUAAUGGCCUACCAAGGCUAUGACGGGUAGGGGACCUGAGAGGGUGGCCCCCCACAAUGGAACUGAAACACGGUCCAUACACCUACGGGUGGCAGCAGUAGGGAAUAUUGGUUAAUCUGCGAAAGCGGGAACCAGCAACGCCGCGUGCACGAUGAAGGCCUUCGGGUUGUAAAGUGCUUUUUGAGAGGAUGAGGAAGGACAGUACUCUUAGAAUAAGCUUCGGCUAACUACGUGCCAGCCGCCGCGGUAACAC